rnacentral:lncRNA from 1 species
GACACAUCUUGUUACCCAUGCAAUGUUGGGGUCAGAGAGUGUAGAGAGUGGUGUGGGGAGAGUGCAGGCUGAAGAGUUACCUAAGGUCAAAAUCCUGACCUAUGAGCCAAGCCAUCGAUUUGGGAUUUCUACUGAGGACACUGGAAGUCACUAAGAGCAUCUGAAUGGUUAUGUGAAGUUGGCAGUUCCCAAGGGCUUUAGGCUUGAAGCUGUGGGUCAUACCCCUUCGGAAACUUGGUCCCCAAGAGAAAUGUAUGCUUCUGAAAACCACAGGUGCAUGAAUCGUGUUUAGUAAAUGACUACUAAACUGAAAUCAGGACUUGUCUAUAUCUUGGCUUCUCAAACUUGAAUAUGCUUAUCAUCUGGAUAGCAAAAGCAUUCCUACACGUUGAGGCCUGCCAGCGUGGGUGUCACCCAGGAGCCACUCGGAAAGGCUCAUCGGAAACCACCCCGGACUGACUGAGGCAGAAUCUCUGGGGGCAGGACCCAGGCCUCAGCAUAAAAACUCCAGGUGACGGAAGAGCUCCCACCUAACAGGUGUGUUGGCAUUGUUGUAGGUGACUGACGUAGUUUCCCAUCUCACAACUCUACCUCCAUGAAGAAAAGUCAUGGAAAAUUGAGACUUUGGGCUGAGUGUGGCUCAUCCCUGUAAUCUUAGUGCUUUGGGAGGCUGAGGUAGGAGGAUCGCUUGAGGCCAGGAAUUUGAGGCCAGCCUGAGCAACAUAGUGUCUCUUCAAAAAACUAAGUUUAUUCUUUCCUCUUUUUUAGUUUUUAUUUUACACGGCUCACUGUGGCUUUGACCUCCCAUGCUGAAGCGAUCCUCCUAUCUCAACCUCUCAAGUAGCUGGAAGCACAGGCAUGCACCACCACACCUGGCUAAUUUUUUUCUUCCUUUUUUAAAGAGACAGUCUUGCCAUGUUGCCCAGGCCCUGUUGACCAGGAAAAAAAAAAGUUUUUUUUCUUUUUUAAAGAAAGAAAAUAAAAGAGACUGAGAAACCACAGAAAUAAAGAAGCGCUGAUGACAAUGCCUGCUUGCUGAUGGUUACGAUGAUCAUAGCAGUGUGCAUUUUGUAUGCAUGAAGCCUGCGACUAAAUAAACGUGUGGGGAAAUAUUUGUAAGGAAAUAAGCUAUUAAUAAAAUAAGCUAAAAUCACA